rnacentral:rRNA from 1 species
AUUGAACGCUGGCGGCAUGCCUUACACAUGCAAGUCGAACGGUAACAGGUUAAGCUGACGAGUGGCGAACGGGUGAGUAAUAUAUCGGAACGUGCCCAGUCGUGGGGGAUAACGUAGCGAAAGCUACGCUAAUACCGCAUACGAUCUACGGAUGAAAGCGGGGGAUCGCAAGACCUCGCGCGAUUGGAGCGGCCGAUAUCAGAUUAGGUUGUUGGUGAGGUAAAGGCUCACCAAGCCUGCGAUCUGUAGCUGGUCUGAGAGGACGACCAGCCACACUGGAACUGAGACACGGUCCAGACUCCUACGGGAGGCAGCAGUGGGGAAUUUUGGACAAUGGACGCAAGUCUGAUCCAGCAAUGCCGCGUGCAGGACGAAGGCCUUCGGGUUGUAAACUGCUUUUGUACGGAACGAAACGGCGAGCUCUAAUACAGUUUGCUAAUGACGGUACCGUAAGAAUAAGCACCGGCUAACUACGUGCCAGCCGCCGCCGUAA